rnacentral:rRNA from 1 species
UGCGAAGCCGACAGGUUAUCCGAGUGGUUUCUGCUAAAGGAACCUUUUGUUAGUCCUAGAAACACUAACGAAUAAGGGGUGGGCAAGUUCUGGUGUCAGCCGCCGCGGUAAAACCAGCACCUCAAGUGGUCAGGAUGAUUAUUGGGCCUAAAGCAUCCGUAGCCGGCUCUGUAAGUUUUCGGUUAAAUCUGUACGCUCAACGUACAGGCUGCCGGGAAUACUGCAGAGCUAGGGAGUGGGAGAGGUAGACGGUACUCGGGAGGAAGUGGUAAAAUGCUUUGAUCUCUCGAUGACCACCUGCGGCGAAGGCGGUCUACCAGAACACGUCCGACGGUGAGGGAUGAAAGCUGGGGAGCAAACCGGAUUAGAUACCCGGGUAGUCCCAGCUGUAAACUAUGCAAACUCAGUGAUGCAUUGGCUUGUAGCCAAUGCAGUAUUGCAGGGAAGCCGUUAAGUUUGCCGCCUGGGAAGUACGUACGCAAGUAUGAAACUUAAAGGAAUUGGCGGGGGAGCAC